rnacentral:rRNA from 1 species
GAGAGUUUGAUCCUGGCUCAGAUUGAACGCUGGCGGCAGGCCUAACACAUGCAAGUCGAGCGGAUGAAGGGAGCUUGCUCCUGGAUUCAGUGGCGGACGGGUGAGUAAUGCCUAGGAAUCUGCCUGGUAGUGGGGGAUAACGUCCGGAAACGGGCGCUAAUACCGCAUACGUCCUGAGGGAGAAAGUGGGGGAUCUUCGGACCUCACGCUAUCAGAUGAGCCUAGGUCGGAUUAGCUAGUUGGUGGGGUAAAGGCCUACCAAGGCGACGAUCCGUAACUGGUCUGAGAGGAUGAUCAGUCACACUGGAACUGAGACACGGUCCAGACUCCUACGGGAGGCAGCAGUGGGGAAUAUUGGACAAUGGGCGAAAGCCUGAUCCAGCCAUGCCGCGUGUGUGAAGAAGGUCUUCGGAUUGUAAAGCACUUUAAGUUGGGAGGAAGGGCAGUAAGUUAAUACCUUGCUGUUUUGACGUUACCAACAGAAUAAGCACCGGCUAACUUCGUGCCAGCAGCCGCGGUAAUACGAAGGGUGCAAGCGUUAAUCGGAAUUACUGGGCGUAAAGCGCGCGUAGGUGGUUCAGCAAGUUGGAUGUGAAAUCCCCGGGCUCAACCUGGGAACUGCAUCCAAAACUACUGAGCUAGAGUACGGUAGAGGGUGGUGGAAUUUCCUGUGUAGCGGUGAAAUGCGUAGAUAUAGGAAGGAACACCAGUGGCGAAGGCGACCACCUGGACUGAUACUGACACUGAGGUGCGAAAGCGUGGGGAGCAAACAGGAUUAGAUACC